GGCCUUUAGCCCCACAAGUAUUAAAGGUCCCGCCUGCCCAGUGAACCACUUUAAACGGCCGCGGUACUCUAACCGUGCAAAGGUAGCGUAAUCACUUGCCCCCUAAAUAGGGGCUUGUAUGAAUGGCUAAAUGAGGGCCUAACUGUCUCCUGCGCCAAGCCAAUGAAACUGCUCUCCCAGUACAAAAGCUGGGAUAAUCACACAAGACGAGAAGACCCUGUGGAGCUUUUAACUAGCGCACCAAAUCACAUCCCAUGGUGCUAACUUUAAGUUGGGGCAACUACGGAGAAUUACCUAACCUCCAUGAAACAGGACUCAUGUCCGCCCAAGGUAUACAAACCAACGACACCCCCCCCAGACCCAGCUUAACGCUGAGCAACGAACCAAGUUACCCCAGGGAUAACAGCGCCAUCCCCCUCAAGAGUUCCUAUCGCCAGGGGGGUUUACGACCUCGAUGUUGGAUCAGGACACCCCGGCGGUGCAGCCGCUGCCAACGGUUCGUUUGUUCAACGACUAAUGUCCUACGUG
rnacentral:rRNA from 1 species